CAAUAGCGUAUAUUUAAGUUGCUGCAGUUAAAAAGCUCGUAGUUGGAUUUCGGGUGGGAAUGGCCGGUCCGCCGUUUCGGUGUGCACUUGCUACGCCCACCUUGUUGCCGGGGACGUGCUCUUGAGUUCACGCUCGGGACACGGAGUCGGCGAGGUUACUUUGAGUAAAUUAGAGUGUUCAAAGCAGGCCUACGCUCCGAAUACAUUAGCAUGGAAUAACACGAUAGGACUCUGGCCUAUCUUGUUGGUCUGUAGGACCGGAGUAAUGAUUAAGAGGGACAGUCGGGGGCAUUCGUAUUUCAUUGUCAGAGGUGAAAUUCUUGGAUUUAUGAAAGACGAACUACUGCGAAAGCAUUUGCCAAGGAUGUUUUCAUUAA
rnacentral:rRNA from 1 species